GAUGAACGCUGGCGGCGUGCCUAAUACAUGCAAGUCGAGCGAACGGACGAGAAGCUUGCUUCUCUGAUGUUAGCGGCGGACGGGUGAGUAACACGUGGAUAACCUACCUAUAAGACUGGGAUAACUUCGGGAAACCGGAGCUAAUACCGGAUAAUAUUUUGAACCGCAUGGUUCAAAAGUGAAAGACGGUCUUGCUGUCACUUAUAGAUGGAUCCGCGCUGCAUUAGCUAGUUGGUAAGGUAACGGCUUACCAAGGCAACGAUGCCUAACCGACCUGAGAGGGUGAUCGGCCACACUGGAACUGAGACACGGUCCAGACUCCUACGGGAGGCAGCAGUAGGGAAUCUUCCGCAAUGGGCGAAAGCCUGACGGAGCAACGCCGCGUGAGUGAUGAAGGUCUUCGGAUCGUAAAACUCUGUUAUUAGGGAAGAACAUAUGUGUAAGUAACUGUGCACAUCUUGACGGUACCUAAUCAGGAAGCCACGGCUAACUACGUG
rnacentral:rRNA from 1 species